AUGGCUCAGAUUGAACGCUGGCGGAAUGCUUUACACAUGCAAGUCGAACGGUAGAGGGGGCAACCCCUUGAGAGUGGCGAACGGGUGAGUAAUAUAUCGGAACGUGCCCAGUCGUGGGGGAUAACGUAGCGAAAGUUACGCUAAUACCGCAUACGAUCUACGGAUGAAAGCGGGGGAUCGCAAGACCUCGCGCGAUUGGAGCGGCCGAUAUCAGAUUAGGUAGUUGGUGAGGUAAAGGCUCACCAAGCCGACGAUCUGUAGCUGGUCUGAGAGGACGACCAGCCACACUGGGACUGAGACACGGCCCAGACUCCUACGGGAGGCAGCAGUGGGGAAUUUUGGACAAUGGGCGCAAGCCUGAUCCAGCAAUGCCGCGUGCAGGAUGAAGGCCUUCGGGUUGUAAACUGCUUUUGUACGGAACGAAACGGUGAGCUCUAAUACAGUUUGCUAAUGACGGUACCGUAAGAAUAAGCACCGGCUAACUACGUG
rnacentral:rRNA from 1 species